rnacentral:rRNA from 1 species
AACGAACGCUGGCGGCAGGCCUAACACAUGCAAGUCGAGCGAAGCCUUCGGGCUUAGCGGCGGACGGGUGAGUAACGCGUGGGAACGUGCCCUUUGGUACGGAAUAGCCCCGGGAAACUGGGAGUAAUACCGUAUGUGGUCGAGAGACGAAAGAUUUAUCGCCAAAGGAUCGGCCCGCGUUGGAUUAGGUAGUUGGUGGGGUAAUGGCCUACCAAGCCGGCGAUCCAUAGCUGGUUUGAGAGGAUGAUCAGCCACACUGGGACUGAGACACGGCCCAGACUCCUACGGGAGGCAGCAGUGGGGAAUCUUAGACAAUGGGGGAAACCCUGAUCUAGCCAUGCCGCGUGAUCGAUGAAGGCCUUAGGGUUGUAAAGAUCUUUCAGUGGGGAAGAUAAUGACUGUACCCACAGAAGAAGCCCCGGCUAACUCCGUGCCAGCCGCCGCGGUAAUAC